CCAAGAUCUAACCACUGCACUGCAGCCUGGGCAACAGAGCAAGACUCUGUCUCAAAAAAAAAAAAAGAUUAAAAAUAAUAAUUAGGAGGGAGAAUAAACGACAUCUUGGUUUUUUAAAAGUCCUUUUUAUGCCAUUAAAGUGUGGCUUGUGGUUUAUUAUUACAUUUGUAUGCAACCUUGGUACUGACAUUUUUAUCAAAAGAUAUUGGAGAGAUUUCAGGAAUGAGGAGUUACAUUCCCUUUAUAUCUUGUUGCCAGAAAUUACUCUUAAGCAAAAUAAAUUCUGCCUGAAAUAAAAAUAAAAUGAGAACACAGCAUAUGCGUGUUUUUGGCUCUGUGAUCUAUGCAAAUAGUUAUGUAUUAACUCAUUAAUUAAAAUGGGCUUAUUCUACACACACAUUUCUACCAUUGGAUUUUUCUUCUUAAAAAAUAAGCAGAGCAGAGUGGGGAGGCGGCAAGAGGACCUGUGGCAGGCCCUCUUCGGCCAUCUCUCUGGCCUGGUUUCCCUCGGCGUGCCACUGUGUGCUCAGUCCAGCACCAUGGGGAAGCGGGACAAUCGGGUGGCCUAUAUGCACCCAAUAGCAAUGGCGAGAUCAAGGGGUCCAAUCCAGUCUUCAGGGCCAACAAUACAGGAUUAUCUGAAUUGACCAAGGCCUACCUGGGAAGAAGUAAAAGAGCAACUAGAAAAGAAAAAGAAAGGUUCCAAGGCUUUGGCUGAAUUUGAAGAAAAAAUGAAUGAGAACUGGAAGAAAGAACUGGAAAAACACAGGGAGAAAUUGUUAACUGCAAGUGAGAGCUCAUCCAAAAAAAAGACAGAGAAAGAAAAAAGAAAAGAAGAAAUCUGAUAGGUAUUCAUCUUCUUCAUCAAGCUCUGAUUCUUCCAGCAAUUCUUCUGAUUCUGAAGAUGAGGAUAAGAAACAAGGAAAAUGAAGAAAGAAAAAGAAGAACCGUUCACAUAAAUCUUCUGAAAGCUCCAUGUCAGAAACUGAAUCAGACAGUAAGGAUAGUUUAAAAAAGAAAAAGAAGUCAAAAGAUGGAACUGAGAAAGAAAAGGAUAUUAAAGGACUCAGCAAAAAGAGAAAGAUGUAUUCUGAAGAUAAACCUUUAUCAUCUGAGUCCUUGUAAGAAUCAGAGUAUAUUGAGGAGGUGCGAGCAAAAAAGAAGAAAAGCAGUGAAGAACGAGAAAAAGCAACAGAAAAAACAAAAAAGAAUAAGAAGCAUAAGAAACACAGUAAGAAGAAAAGGCUGUUAGUUCAAGUCCUGACUCACCAUAACAUUAAGAAAAAUCAGGAUUCCCUUAUAAAGAAAGUGCAAUGUCUGAGGAAAUUUCAACUGUGAAAACUACAACAUAUUUACUAACAUGCAUGAAUUUUCUUGUUUUUAGAAUUAUUCCUGGACUAUUCAGUAGCCACUCAGAUGCUACUGUGUGAAAGGGCCAUAAAUGUUGCCUGCUGCUUGAACAUCUAUUUUUUUCUCUUCCAGUGCUUGAUAACUCUGGGAGAUAAUACACUGCAGUCAUACUAGUGGUUAAGAUAUUUGGGAAUAAAAUUAAUACUUUUGACUAGAAAUGUCUAAGGAUAAACCAACAGAAAUUGAAUCUGGAUACAUCUUUAAGAUGUAAUCAGAAAUGACCAGAUGACUCUAGUUAAAAUUUUUGAAGGAGGGAUUACAUUAAUAUUUCAAAACCCUUACUCUGUAAGAUAAGUGUAGUUUAAUUUUUUUCCCCUCGUAUACUUUUAUUUACCUGGGGAAGGAGCUUUUAGGGUUGGGGGGGUGGUUUGCUAUCUCUUUAGCUAGCAGAAUAGUGUGCCUUUGAUCCUCACACAUCCUGUAUUAUGAACACAGUAGCCAUACUUCACGGGGAGGUCAGAGCUGGCUACCAGCAGUCUUGCCCUUUACUGAGCUUAGUGUCAUCCUUGGAUGCUGUCAUAUGCUGCUUUGAGUGAACCAGAGAAACAGCCAUUUGCAGCAUGAGAAAGCCCCAAAAGCUCUGGGAUUUACCUCCACUUCAGUAAUAAUGAAUAUUUUUUAGCAUUAGAAUGUGUUAGGUCAUUUGAAUUAAUUUUUACUACACUUUGGCUUGGGAGAGGAAUUAUUUUAAAUAGACACUGGUACUUUUCGAACUUGAUAGCUAAAGAUUCUAAAAUGCAUGUUUUAUACUAAGUUUUAACCAGUCAGGAAAAUUUUAUGUAACCAGUGAUAGUUUAUUUUUUUGUAUGAAUUUUGUUUAGGCUACAAUGUUUAGCUUUUGUUAACUCCUCACUCUUGCUGUCUUAAGUUCAUUACUAUGUUUAAUGGCGUACUUGCCAAGAUAUUUAGCAUGUAAAAAGCAGGGUUUUGAUUAAAAAAAAAAAAAAACAGCUUCAUAUUGAAGCUGAGACUUACAAUAACAAGUUGAGUGGCAAGCCUGGUAUGCUGUGUCUUAUUGCCAGAAUCUUAGUAAAUGUAAUGUUUUAAAAGUUUAUUGUCUUUGUAUAUUAAUAACAAAGUAUGACAAGUUAAGUUUAAAUAAGAGUUAAA